AGAGUUUGAUCCUGGCUCAGAAUGAACGUUGGCGGCGUGGAUUAGGCAUGCAAGUCGAGGGUAUCCAGCAAUGGGGAACCGGCGAACGGGGUAGUAAUGCGUAGGUACGUGCCCUCAGGACGGGGAUAGCCACGGGAAACUGUGGGUAAUACCCGAUGAUCUCGUGAGAGCAAAGGUGUGACUCCGCCUGAGGAGCGGCUUACGUGGCAUUAGGUAGUUGGUAGGGUAACGGCCUACCAAGCCUGGGAUGCCUAGGGGGUGUGAGAGCAUGGUCCCCACCAUUGGGACUGAGAAACUGCCCAGACACCUACGGGUGGCUGCAGUCGAGAAUCUUCGGCAAUGGGCGCAAGCCUGACCGAGCGACGCCGCGUGCGGGAUGAAGGCCUUCGGGUUGUAAACCGCUGUCAGAGGGCAAAUUUUGACUGAUGCUCAGAGGAAGGAC
rnacentral:rRNA from 1 species